GGCUCAGGACGAACGCUGGCGGCGCGCCUAACACAUGCAAGUCGAACGAGUGAGAGAGAGCUUGCUUUCUCGAGCGAGUGGCGAACGGGUGAGUAACGCGUGAGGAACCUGCCUCAAAGAGGGGGACAACAGUUGGAAACGACUGCUAAUACCGCAUAAGCCCACGGCUCGGCAUCGAGCAGAGGGAAAAGGAGCAAUCCGCUUUGAGAUGGCCUCGCGUCCGAUUAGCUAGUUGGUGAGGUAACGGCCCACCAAGGCGACGAUCGGUAGCCGGACUGAGAGGUUGAACGGCCACAUUGGGACUGAGACACGGCCCAGACUCCUACGGGAGGCAGCAGUGGGGAAUAUUGCACAAUGGGGGAAACCCUGAUGCAGCGACGCCGCGUGGAGGAAGAAGGUCUUCGGAUUGUAAACUCCUGUUGUUGAGGAAGAUAAUGACGGUACUCAACAAGGAAGUGACGGCUAACUACGUGCCAGCAGCCGCGGUAAAACGUAGGUCACAAGCGUUGUCCGGAAUUACUGGGUGUAAAGGGAGCGCAGGCGGGAAGACAAGUUGGAAGUGAAAUCCAUGGGCUCAACCCAUGAACUGCUUUCAAAACUGUUUUUCUUGAGUAGUGCAGAGGUAGGCGGAAUUCCCGGUGUAGCGGUGGAAUGCGUAGAUAUCGGGAGGAAUACCAGUGGCGAAGGCGGCCUACUGGGCACCAACUGACGCUGAGGCUCGAAAGUGUGGGUAGCAAACAGGAUUAGAUACCCUGGUAGUCCACACCGUAAACGAUGAUUACUAGGUGUUGGAGGAUUGACCCCUUCAGUGCCGCAGUUAACACAAUAAGUAAUCCACCUGGGGAGUACGACCGCAAGGUUGAAACUCAAAGGAAUUGACGGGGGCCCGCACAAGCAGUGGAGUAUGUGGUUUAAUUCGACGCAACGCGAAGAACCUUACCAAGUCUUGACAUCCUGCGACGGUUCUGGAAACAGAACUUUCCUUCGGGACGCAGAGACAGGUGGUGCAUGGUUGUCGUCAGCUCGUGUCGUGAGAUGUUGGGUUAAGUCCCGCAACGAGCGCAACCCUUAUGGUCAGUUACUACGCAAGAGGACUCUGGCCAGACUGCCGUUGACAAAACGGAGGAAGGUGGGGAUGACGUCAAAUCAUCAUGCCCUUUAUGACUUGGGCUACACACGUACUACAAUGGCGUUAAACAAAGAGAAGCAAGACCGCGAGGUGGAGCAAAACUCAGAAACAACGUCCCAGUUCGGACUGCAGGCUGCAACUCGCCUGCACGAAGUCGGAAUUGCUAGUAAUCGUGGAUCAGCAUGCCACGGUGAAUACGUUCCCGGGCCUUGUACACACCGCC
rnacentral:rRNA from 1 species